AGGGAGGUGUCGGGGUGUCGUGUUUGUGGCGGCCGGUGCCUGCGGGACCCCGCUCUGCACAGCCCGGCGCCUCUUUGGCGCUUCGUGCGCCCUGUCCCCCUCGAGGGGUCGAAGUAGAGCGCUUUGGUUUCCCUCUCUGCUUCCAUAAUUUGCCUCGUGCCCCUCAGCUCCACUCUAGCGGGAGCGUUGCCGUUCGUGCUCCGUGGAGAAAGGACAAUCCCCUGCCUAAGUUCUGAAUGGCUUUCCAAAUUCUUAACUCGAAUUUUCUGCCAGGUUAUUGAGUUGAAUCAGCUUAGAGAAAGGUUAAAAGAGUGUCAGAGGUGGAGAAAGAGGAGGGCACGAGGGAAGAGAGUGAAACCUCCCAUCUAGGCAGCAAAGUAAGCCAUCCUCAGCAACUUCAGGAAAGACGAGGUUUUUUUCUUGCUGCCACAGAGUCUUCUACCUACCACAUUUCAUGGACUGGGACAUCAUCAGCUAUGUUUUGUUUGCUACAGCAAUUAUCAGGGAAGAGGAAGCAUUUGGUUGCCCUCAGCCAUGUCUGCAAUACUGUGGUUAUUUGAUAUUCCAAGUACAGGGAGGUGAUGAUAACUGCUGACACAUGCUGGCUUGCUGUUGGUAACCACUAAAUCCAGGCGGGUGCAGAGUCACCUUUGUACAACUACUUCUUACACAGCUGCAGAUUGUAGUAUAUCCUUGCCUCUGUCAGCCAGUUCACUGAGUUACCCCAAGCUCUGCUGUGUGGAAUACACAGAUAUUUCCAGAUGCUUGGCUAGUGUUUGUCAUGUUGGAUAUUCUCCAUUUGUUCUCAGACACAGAGAUAUUCUCUGCAAGCCCCUCUCCCAGUUUACUGCAGUCAAAGGUCAGAGAUCCUCAGUGUCAGUAGUAUAAUGGGAAAAAUAGAGCUUUUAGCCUCAGCUGGGAGUCUGAGGAGAAACACUAUUUCCCUUUACCUGAUUGUUCCUUUAAGUAGACAUAUUUCAAGAAUAGCAGACAUUCAUUGACUUAGUUUGUCUUAUAGAAAAUGUAUAAAACAUUUUGGAAACGUAUAAAACAUUUAUACAACAGCCCAUGCUGUUUAUUUAGAGGUGUUUGGGUUUGGUUACCAAUAAAUCCCAAAUUAAGUGAGAAUUAGACACUGAAAUCUUUUAUAUUAAAACUUGAAAUACCACCAGAUUUCUGCAGAAAGAAUAGUCAGGACCUGAACAUUCUCAUGCUUGAUUUUCACUUUCUUUGCUGUGCAUGAAGGAAAAAAAAAUAUUUUAUGUGGAUUCAGCAGACUCAUAUGGGAAUCUCACUCCUCUUCUGCUGUUCUAGUCUAUAACUGUAGAUGGAACACUGACUUUGAAAUACAGUUCCAUUGCUAAAUUUUAGAAAGCAAUGUGUACAGCUUGAAAAUAUGUAAAAUAUUUUGGGAAAGAUUUCUUUUUAACAUACAGUUCCAUCAUCACUGUUUCAGUGUUUGGCUUCCAAAUAAUUGUUUCAUAUAAUUUUGAAACAUCUUAGCUUUCUGUGUAUCUUAUAUGAAUUUUCAUAAAAAUAAAAAUAAAGCUAUAGAAAUAUA